GUGAAAUUGUUGAAAGGGAAACGAUUGAAGUCAGUCGUACAAGACAGGAAAUCAACCUUUCGGGCGCGGGUAAUUUAUCUGGGUCCCUGGGGAGUAUUUUCUUGUAUUGUAGGUUAGCGUCGAUUUCGAACGUUAUAAAAUAGAUCGGAGGAAUGUAGCUUCGACUCGGUUGAAGUGUUAUAGCCUCUGGUAGAUGUAACGAACGGGAUCGAGGAUUGCUAACGGAUACCCUUCGUGGGCUAUCGGCCUGACCUCUGAUCUGUCACUCUGGUUUUGAAAGCUAGCUUACGAUGUCGGAGCGUACGGUCAAAAGGAUAGAGCGGAUUAAAUUCGUUAAGGACGCUGACGUAAUGGCUUUAAACGAC
rnacentral:rRNA from 1 species